GGCAGUCAUCCUCACAUCUCCCCCGUUCCCCAUUUCCCCCAUCGCCAGCACCCUCCCUCCGCAGCCGGCGGUCCCAGGUUAGGCCGCCCCUUCCCUUUGUCACCAUAGCCAGCGCGAGCUUCGUAGCCACUAAUCUUCCUCCAUUUCACGUCGAAUCUGGCCACGGAAGUGGCCGAGGAGGCCCUCGAGCUCGGCAUGCUCGCGCUAGCUCUAGGCUCCGUCGGAGGCGUACGCGGAGGCGCGGGACUUGCACGCCUCUCCUCUGCCCCACUCCUUCGAAUCCAGUCGCACAAGUGCUUGAGGAGGCGCUCGAGCUUGGCAUGCUCGCCGGCGACGCCGGGCCCCUCCCUCCUCCUGAUGCCUCCCUCACCAUCGCCGCCAUGAGCCUCUCCACCCUCUCCUGCGCGAUUGUUCGGGUCCAGGUUGCUGCAUCUUCUGGUUGUGAGUGGAUCCAAGAGUUAACAUGGUGCAGUAUCUUUUCGAAAGAUGAUGUAUUUCUUCAUAUAAGAAAGUAUGUUGGAGAAGUUAUUAUUGUAGAGGAAUUCAGUCUCAUGUGAUUCUCAAGAGCUAAAAUGGAAAAAGAAGUGCAGACCUCUCAUGCCUACACUAACUAAUCAGGUAGCAUAUCCAAAUUUUUAAGAAUACUACAUUCAGAUAUGACAUUUGAAUAUAAAAACUGGCAAUUAUGUACAGUAGACAGUUCCUAAGAAUUUCUGCAUUAGCGGCUUGUAGCUUCAAUUCUUCAAUCAGCCAGUUGUUAAUUUGUUGUUCUAUAACUAAUUGAGUAAGAGAUUUUUUUCCCGGUUGGCCGGAUUAUGUGCCGAUGAUAUGAUCGCGGUGAAUAAUAUGGGUUGCCUAUGUGCUCAUGAAACUAAAAAGUCUUCAAAAGGUGGUCUUCCAAUGAAAUUUGAAAUAUAAAAAAACAUGGUAUCAGAAAAGAACGAAUAGGGGAAGAGUCAACAUGGAUGUUGUCCCGGUUUUAUCCCAUCCUGGAGCUACAAGAAGGUUGGGUGAAGUCUACAAUGGGUUCUUUUCCAAGGAAGGAGAAGGCUCAGGUGGCGCUGGUCUACAGCUAAAAGAACGUCAGCAGGUUCGCGGCGAAGCUCAUGCAGGUCGCCGUGUUGAGGAGUGAGUUCCCCUCUUGCUGCUCUGCUCUGCUCUCACAAUCAACUGAAUCCCUUUAGCUAGCAGUAAAACAACAGUUGCAAGAGCUUUUUUUAAUUGCAUGAUGCACAGUUGAUGGUCAACUAAGACAAACCCAUAGUAUAAUCGUUAAGAUCAAGUUUGUAAUUUUAGUCGGACAUGUUGUCAAUACAAGGCCUACUCACAUGGUUAAUAUACUAAUUCUUGUCACCAGAAAACCAAGAAUGGUGUACCAUGAGCAAGGAUCGACAUUAUAAAUGUAUACAAUAUUAUGUAUAAAUGGCCAAUGGCUCCAGCAACUAUAGCAAUUAAACCAUGAGCACCAGGCAAAGAGGAUAAUGAUUUUAAUUCAGCCGUUAUGUAAAAAAGAAAACAAAUAGUUAUUGAACCUAGCCUUGUUAUGGUACCUAUUCAAACUAAACAAAGUAAAUAUAGAUAGCAAAUCUACUGAAAGUAGAACGCACACAAUGCUUGAACAACUCUAGCAGUCUCUGAUAUGCCAAUCAGGAUACCUCACAAAAUAUUCUCAGAAUGCAUUGAUCAACAUCUGUGCAAAGCAAACAAAGGAUUAGUAUAUUAACCAUGUGAGUAGGCACAGAUGUUGAUCAAUGCAUUCUUUGUUUGGUUUGAGUGUGGAUAUUUAACCUCAACAGGAUAACAUCACAUUUUAUCUGCUAACCAAAGUACAACAGGGCAGAGCUUGAAUCUAACUAUUAUAAAAAAACACAAACCUAUCUAGCAUAUAUAAUUUGGCUCGGUGUAUCCAUGUUAACAACUGAUUAACUAAUAUAUUGGGAUGGGGUACCAAGUCUAAUUAGUUAUGUGAUUCCUAAUCAGGAAGCCUACUCAUGUGUGGCCACCUGUAACAUUUCUUUAAACAUGUUGCUUCAAUAAUGUCAAUUUACAAUGCAUUCCCAAUACAGAAACCGGAAUAAAAUGCAGCUUCCAUCAGGACAAAUAUAUUAACAAGUUUAAAUGUGGAUGAUGGAGGAAGUGAAAGCAACGAGAGAGGAGUGUCGGUGUCAAAACUGGCGGAUCUCGGGUAGGGGGUUCCGAUCUGUGCGUCUUAGGCUGAUGGUAACAGGAAGCAAGGGACAC